AUGUUUUAUGGAAUCUUUCAAAGAAAAAGUAUUUAAGCCAAAACCAAAUGUCUUGGUGACGUAUCAUCCAGUUUCUAUGUAGAACUACUUUUAGCCAUAGAUAUCUCCUGGUAGAGAAACUAACCAGAGAGAAAUAAAGGAACAGAGCAAUGAAGUAUGCAAGCCUUGACCCAUAAUCAAAUGCCCCCUGAAUCCUUGCCCAUGCCAUAGAAGCAACACUGGGUGCAGCAACAAA